UGAGCAAUCUGCCCUUCUCAUCGGAAUAAGCGUUGGAAACGACGUCUAAUGCCGAAUACGACCUCCUUUCGCAUGAUCGGAGGUGGAAAGCUCCGGCGGAGAAGGGUGAGCUCGCGGCCUAUCAGCUAGUUGGUGUGGGUAAUGGCCCACCAAGGCGACGACGGGUAGCCGGCCUGAGAGGGUGACCCGGCCACACGUGGGACUGAGACACGGCCCAGACCUCCGUACGGGAGGNAGCG
rnacentral:rRNA from 1 species